rnacentral:lncRNA from 1 species
AUUUCUGUUGCUGUUAGUGUUACUUCAGUCUCAGUUCAUUUUACUGUUAAGACUUGAACUUUCUCAGAUUGCUAAUAUGUACAUUGAGCAGUUUUGUGUUUUUUGUUGUUGUUUUUUUGUUUCUUAAGGUCUGUAAAGCCAAGUUUCCAUUACUGGGGCUAAUGGAGGCUGAGAAAUAGUGAGAAAGGCUGAAUAAAAGGCAUCAAUGGAUGCUCUGGGAAGCACAUUUCAGCACUGCCUGCACAACACUGCUUAGAAUCAGGGAUUCUUAAAUUCAAUUCAUACCCUACUGCAUCCUGUUUUGCUCCUGUAGGGGCAAUGAGAGUUGCCUUUCCAAAUACUUUGGAAGAAUAAGAACAUAAAGCUCACUGGAUAACCAGAAAAGAGGAGAGAAAGAGAUUUUUAGGUCCCGUGAGUAUGAUCUUGCUAUUAAGAUUGCAAGGACUGCAACCCUUUACAAUAGGGAGUGAAUAGGCAAUAGAGAUUGGCCUCGGUGGUGCUGUGUGUUCCACAGUAAGAAAAUGAUGGAAGACUGAAAAGAGCUACAGAGGUUAAAUCAUAUAUACAUAUAUAAAUAGGUAAAUACAACCUUAUUGGAAUAAUAAAAAGCUGUUGUUGAAAUACCUCUCUUACUGC